CAAGUCGAGGGGCAGCAUGACUGUAGCAAUACAGUUGAUGGCGACCGGCAAACGGGUGCGGAACACGUACAGAACCUUCCUUCGAGCGGGGAAUAGCCCAGAGAAAUUUGGAUUAAUACCCUAUAGUAUAUUGGAGUGGCAUCACUUUAAUAUUAAAGAUUUAUCACUUGAAGAUGGCUGUGCGGCUGAUUAGGUAGUUGGCGGGGUAACGGCCCACCAAGCCUACGAUCAGUAACUGGUGUGAGAGCACGACCAGUCACACGGGCACUGAGACACGGGCCCGACUCCUACGGGAGGCAGCAGUAAGGAAUAUUGGUCAAUGGACGCAAGUCUGAACCAGCUAUGCCGCGUGGAGGAUGAAGGUCCUCUGGAUUGUAAACUUCUUUUAUCUGGGACGAAAAAGGGCCUUUCUAGGUCAACUGACGGUACCAGAUGAAUAAGCACCGGCUAACUCCGUGCCAGCAGCCGCGGUAAUACGGAGGGUGCAAGCGUUAUCCGGAUUCACUGGGUUUAAAGGGUGCGUAGGUGGGUUGGUAAGUCAGUGGUGAAAUCUCCGAGCUUAACUUGGAAACUGCCAUUGAUACUAUCAGUCUUGAAUAUUGUGGAGGUCAGCGGAAUAUGUCAUGUAGCGGUGAAAUGCUUAGAUAUGACAUAGAACACCAAUUGCGAAGGCAGCUGGCUACGCAUAUAUUGACACUGAGGCACGAAAGCGUGGGGAUCAAACAGGAUUAGAUACCCUGGUAGUCCACGCCCUAAACUAUGGAUACUCGACAUACGCGAUACACUGUGUGUGUCUGAGCGAAAGCAUUAAGUAUCCCACCUGGGAAGUACGAUCGCAAGAUUGAAACUCAAAGGAAUUGGCGGGGGUCCGCACAAGCGGUGGAACCAUGUGGUUU
rnacentral:rRNA from 1 species